GGACCGGAUGCACGAGAAAUAUAUAUAUAAUAUAUAUAUAUAUAAUUCACCGGGUAUUUAUGCGCGCGCCUGUGGCGGCGCUGAAAGCAACCCGCGGCUGUGGAAAUGGGGUGUCAUGGCGUGUGACGUAAUUGUGGAGAAAGUGGAAGGCAGAGAGAACAGGGCUCUCCACGAAACGGACAUCAACGGGUGCUACCAACGUCGGAAUGCGAAGAGGCGAAAUGCGUUCGGAGGUGGAUCGAUUACGUAAAACCCGAUUUCGGCCUCUGUGUGUAUGCGUACCAGGCGACGAUUUAAUAAGCAGGUGUUUCUACACAACAGGAAAUAAGGAAAGAAGAAAGAAAUUCCAUCGCGUUGGAGGAAGGGACAUUCUGCAACGAUGAGACCUAAUAAUUUCGCAACAGGCGUCCUUGGAGUCUACUGUUAUGAAAAAAAAAAAAAAAAAAAGAAAAAGAAGAAAAAAUGACUUAUUAAAAAAACUUUCGUCCUUCCUCUUCAAAUCUAAUUGCUUCCUUUAAACUUGUGGCGUCCUUGCGCACACGUGAAAUUGCAACGAGCAGCUUACGAAACACGAAAUUGCUUUUAAUUGUGUACCUGUCUGUGAAAUUUCUCGUAAUUUAUUCAAUAUAAAUUUCGCGCCUCCCUUUCCUUCAAACAGGAGGAGGAAUUCGCUUCGUGGAGAACUUAUAAUUGGUUUUAAUUAAGAUACGUUCUCGAUUCGUUGAUAAAUUCAAUAAUAAAUUCGCGAUAAAAGAAAUUAUGCGAUACACCGUGCGCUUUUGUAAUAUGAAUUUACGUUCAAUGAAUUACUCCUCACCUUUCUCUAGCAAACGCAAUUAAGGUCUGUACACGUUCCUUAAUGUGGUACGUAAUACGUGACAUUUUAGAAAUUUAUGUAAAAUUUUCCAUGAUAUUCAUUUGUAUAAUUACAAAUUAAUCGGUUACUUUUCAUUUUCA